AUCGCAAGACCUCUCGCUAUUGGAGCGGCCGAUGUCAGAUUAGCUAGUUGGUGGGGUAAAGGCCUACCAAGGCGACGAUCUGUAGCUGGUCUGAGAGGACGACCAGCCACACUGGGACUGAGACACGGCCCAGACUCCUACGGGAGGCAGCAGUGGGGAAUUUUGGACAAUGGACGCAAGUCUGAUCCAGCCAUGCCGCGUGCGGGAAGAAGGCUCUCGGGUUGUAAACCGCUUUUGUCAGGGAAGAAAUCUUCUGGGUUAACACCUCGGGAGGAUGACGGUACCCGAAG
rnacentral:rRNA from 1 species